GGGCGUUAAGUUGCAGGGUAUAGACCCGAAACCCGGUGAUCUAGCCAUGGGCAGGUUGAAGGUUGGGUAACACUAACUGGAGGACCGAACCGACUAAUGUUGAAAAAUUAGCGGAUGACCUGUGGCUGGGGGUGAAAGGCCAAUCAAACCGGGAGAUAGCUGGUUCUCCCCGAAAGCUAUUUAGGUAGCGCCUCGUGAAUUCAUCUCCGGGGGUAGAGCACUGUUUCGGCUAGGGGGCCAUCCCGGCUUACCAACCCGAUGCAAACUGCGAAUACCGGAGAAUGUUAUCACGGGAGACACACGGCGGGUGCUAACGUCCGUCGUGAAGAGGGAAACAACCCAGACCGCCAGCUAAGGUCCCAAAGUCAUGGUUAAGUGGGAAACGAUGUGGGAAGGCCCAGACAGCCAGGAUGUUGGCUUAGAAGCAGCCAUCAUUUAAAGAAAGCGUAAUAGCUCACUGGUCGAGUCGGCCUGCGCGGAAGAUGUAACGGGGCUAAACCAUGCACCGAAGCUGCGGCAGCGACACUGUGUGUUGUUGGGUAGGGGAGCGUUCUGUAAGCCUGUGAAGGUGU
rnacentral:rRNA from 1 species